UAGCUUGAAUAACAGUUUCAGCUGAAACAUUCAUUUCAUUGGUUCUUUUUGUUUGUCUUUAAACCAACAUGGUGGCAAGCAGCAUGACACAAAACAUCUGGGAGUGUGAGAAACGAAGAUCACGGACCAGAGUAAGAAGACCUACAGAGAGAUCAAGAGGAAUCUCUCUGACAGCAAAGAUGAACAUUAUUUGGACUGAAGGCUCCACCAACAUGUCAUUUUAAAGUCAGCUGGUAAAUAAACAGAUGAAGAACACAUGCCCCUGCCUGAACAGGACACCAUACGUGACACGUGAACCUGCAACAGGGUCUGGACCACAGACAGAUUAACUUAAAAGCACGGGGAUGUCAGACAAACAUAGGAACAUGACCGCAGAAACAAAGGGUAACAAAACAGGGAAACUAGACACAAAAGGAAACUCAUAACUUAACAGCCAAGAAGUAGAAAAAAUAAACGCAGUUGCAUUAAAGAAAACAAAAGUCAAGACUAACUAAUACAGAAAAUAAGAACUAGAAAAUGAAAAUCUCUUAAAUUUAAAGGAAUGAAUCACAAGACCAUAAUAUAUUCAAAACUUGGUUGAAGACCCACCAUGACACAUGCAUGUUUUAAGAUUGAGUUUCUUUCAUAUGAUUCAAUUCAGUUCAAUUCAAUUUUGUUUAUGGAGCGCAAAAUCACAACAACAGUCGCCUGAAGGUAUAUACCUUGUAUACUGAACCUCCCCCAAAGAAAAAAAAAACAGGCCUACAGCUUGAUUAGUUUUAAGUAUAUUAAAACACAUUAAUAGUAUAAAUCAGCUCAAAUAAAAAGCUUGAAGAACAUGGUUGACUGUCAAUAUCAACAGUGUGAAUUAAAAUGUAAUGAAAAAUUACAGUGGACUGGUGGAAAAGCAGCUGGUUAAACAUACUGCCAUCUCCUCUCAUAGUCGUCAGAGCUUGAGUUUAGACUCUUAGUCUUAGUUUAGUCUUGAGUUUAUCUGUAUUUCUAGUUCGCAGUGUCUUGUUUGAUAAUAGGUUGCGUUCAUGUCGUUGUGUCGUCUCUGUGUCUUGUCCUCAAUGUCUCACUUUAAAAUCAGGUUAAUAAGCAUGGAGACAAGACUAUCUGUUUCCCCAGUCAUGUCUCUCGCUCUGUCUCUUCACAUCUCUGUGUCCGUGUCUCAGCGUUUGUGAGUUCCUGUUUACUUUGGUAGUCGUCAUCUCAUGUGCCUCGUGUUCUGCUUUGCUUCCCCCAUCUCACCAUGUCUAUGUUUCUCUGGCUGUGUUCCCAUGUUCCCUGUGUCCACUUCUCCUAACCACCUUCCUGUGUAUAUAUUGUGUCUGUCUUCCCUUAUACUUGUACGUUAUGUUCAAAAUGUGAUCAUGUUAGUUAGACAGUUUGUAUUUAGCUUCCUUUUCAUUAAAAGGCUCUCCUUUGGCUGAAACUCCUCUGUGCUGCCUCCAUGUCUGCAAUCCUGGGCCCUCUUUCACCACAGCAGCAAAACAGAGAGCUGCAAUCUUUUGGAAGAUUGAAACAAAAAACACAGGUUUCGGGAACCACUGUCAACAGCUACCACAGGAUGGCAGUAAUGUAAAGGAUGGAUUCAGACAGGUGGGGAACUUUAUAGCAACACUGUUCAAGAUGAAAGGAGAAAAAUUGUUUUACUUUGGUACAUUUUAAUUUAUGUGUAUUUUUCGAUUUGACAAGGCAAGCACUGUUUGCCUUUCUUGUCCUGUCUGCCAUGUGUUAAAUUACAGUAAUGUGAAAUGAUUCCUGCUUAAUGAUAGAAAUACAGUGAAAUAUUUUAAUUAUUUGUUCACUGAUUUUCUCUAAUUUUGCCUGUCGUUGCCAAGACCUUCAGGAUGUAGCUUUAGCUGUCUCUUCCUGUUGAAGAAUCAUAAAAAGGUUCUUGAAAUAUUUA